CAAAUACUCCAUCCGUCCGGAAUUACUUUGUCAUCAAAAUGGAUGAAAAUGAAUGUAUUUUGAACUAAAAUACAUCUAGAUACAUUCAUUUCAAUGACAAGUAUUUUUGGACGGAGGGAGUACAAA
rfam:Triticum aestivum genome assembly, contig: Triticum_aestivum_CS42_TGACv1_scaffold_328049_4BS